AGUGAACGCUGGCGGUAGGCCUAACACAUGCAAGUCGAACGGCAGCACAGUAAGAGCUUGCUCUUACGGGUGGCGAGUGGCGGACGGGUGAGGAAUACAUCGGAAUCUACUUUUUCGUGGGGGAUAACGUAGGGAAACUCACGCUAAUACCGCAUACGACCUACGGGUGAAAGCAGGGGAUCUUCGGACCUUGCGCGAUUGAAUGAGCCGAUGUCGGAUUAGCUAGUUGGCGGGGUAAAGGCCCACCAAGGCGACGAUCUGUAGCUGGUCUGAGAGGAUGAUCAGCCACACUGGAACUGAGACACGGUCCAGACUCCUACGGGAGGCAGCAGUGGGGAAUAUUGGACAAUGGGCGCAAGCCUGAUCCAGCCAUACCGCGUGGGUGAAGAAGGCCUUCGGGUUGUAAAGCCCUUUUGUUGGGAAAGAAAAGCAGCAGGUUAAUACCCCGCUGUUCUGACGGUACCCAAAGAAUAAGCACCGGCUAACUUCGUG
rnacentral:rRNA from 1 species